rnacentral:rRNA from 1 species
AUGACUCUAGAGAAGGAUGAGAUGGAUGACGCCAAAUCGAACUCCAUGCUUAGGGAGACGACUGAAGAUGAUGAUGGAGGUGACGCCUAUGAUCGAUGCCAUCCAAGUUCGCGGAGUAAAAACGGUCAAGCUCAAACGGCAAUUGGUCCCUUUCAAAGAGAGGUAGGACCCGCUCCCACGCCGCCGAGCUUACGGAGGUCGGAGGGGCACUAUAAUAAGAGCAUCACCAACAGCCGCGCUAAACUAGCGCCGCGCCGCAAAUUAGGCCGUUUUAGCGCGCGCGCAACAUGGCGGGUCGCUCCAGCGGGCGCGCAAAAACGGCGCGCGCGCUAUAACGAGUUGGGCGCGCGGUCGGAAGCACUAUCCCGCGCGGCACACUCGAGCGCUCGCUCUCCCACUUCCUCUCCCACUUUCACCCCCAUCCGUUCGCCCCCUCCCCUCGGCGACCGUUCAGGCGCUUCCCCAGCCUAUCCCCGCGCUGCCGUGCUUCCGCCCCAUCCCCUCCUGGUCCCGCCGGCCCUCCCGCACCUCCGUCGUCCGAGGAACAGCGCCCGAGCGCUCGCUGCCGCGCCGCGCCCGCAAGGUAUUCGACAAAACGCCUGCAAGAUGAGUUCGUCGUAUGAUUCUUCCGAAGAAGAAUUUGAUAUGGAAGAGGAGGAGGAUCUUGCAAUGAUCAUAGCUAGGCAUAUCAAUAAAAAACCGAAGCACGGUGGUUCGGUUAUGGGUCGGGAGAAAAUUUGGAGAGAUAGGAUUGAUGAAGAACAAUUUUGUGGAGAAUCCCACAUACCCGGAGUCGCACCACGCCGUGCUCAAUCUCACGUGCAAGCUAAUGAAGAAAAGGCAGCACUCGGGCCACGCCGGCGCUGUUCGCCUGAGGGCCGCGGCGCAGCGGAGCGCAUGGAGCUUGCUGACGAUAAUGCGCUAGAGCUGUACGACGGACAGGCGUUCGUGCAGGUGGCCGCUACCGCCGAACCCGCUGGGCUGUGCGCGUUCAGGUACCUGCGCAGGAACCAGAACAUGUUCAACGGUGAGAAUUGGCGGCGGUUCGUCGCGCUGAGGACCAAAGGUAGAUCGACAAAGAAGAUGUCGUUCAAGCUGAAGCACCUGCUCGGUAUUCAUGGAGCAGCAUUGGGUUUUAAAAUGUUCAGUCCCAUUAGAGUCAACGACAGGUGUAUCGUGCGGUGGCUGAGAUCAUCCCUUCAGAUUAUGAUCAUGAGCACGUCGAGGCUACGGCGGGAAGGAGGAUGCCCGACAAUACAAGUGGGACGUCGUGUUGAAGGGCAAGGACAUUUUUUUUUUCUUCCGUUGCAACGCACGAGCAUGUUUUGCUAG